rnacentral:rRNA from 1 species
UACGAGGGGGGCAAGCGUUGUUCGGAAUUAUUGGGCGUAAAAGGGUGCGUAGGCGGUUUUGUAAGUCUUGUGUGAAAUCUUCAGGCUCAACUUGAAGACUGCACGAGAAACUGCAGGGCUUGAGUGUGGGAGAGGUGAGUGGAAUUCCUGGUGUAGCGGUGAAAUGCGUAGAUAUCAGGAGGAACACCUGUGGCGAAAGCGGCUCACUGGACCAACAACUGACGCUGGAUGCACGAAAGCUAGGGGAGCAAACAGG